rnacentral:rRNA from 1 species
UUAGAGUUUGAUCAUGGCUCAGCGCGAACGCUUGCGGCGCGCCUAACACAUGCAAGUCAGGGGGCCCGUCCCUUCGGGGACGGGUAACCGGCAAACGGGUGAGUAACGCGUGGGUAACCUACCCCGAGGAGGGGAAUAACCCCGGGAAACCGGGGCUAAUACCCCAUAAUGAGCCUUCCCACUAAGGGGAGGCUCCAAAGGGCCGCCUCUGCUUUGCAAGCGGCCGCCUCGGGAUGGGCCCGCGUCCCACCAGGUAGUUGGUGGGGUAACGGCCCACCAAGCCUAUGACGGGUAGCUGGCCUGAGAGGGUGGCCAGCCACAGCGGGACUGAGACACGGCCCGCACCCCUACGGGGGGCAGCAGUGGGGAAUCGUGGGCAAUGGCGAAAGCCUGACCCCGCGACGCCGCGUGGGGGAUGAAGCCCUUCGGGGUGUAAACCCCUGUCGGGCCGGACGAAGCGGCUAGGGGUUAAUAGCCCCUAGCCGUGACGGUACGGCCAGAGGAAGGGACGGCUAACUACGUGCCAGCAGCCGCGGUAAUACGUAGGUCCCGAGCGUUGCGCGGAGUUACUGGGCGUAAAGCGUCCGCAGCCGGCCCCGUAAGCGGGUUGUCAAAGCCCACGGCUCAACCGUGGAACGGCAUCCCGAACUGCGGGGCUUGAGGCUUGCUCGGGCAGGCGGAAUUCCCGGUGUAGCGGUGAAAUGCGUAGAUAUCGGGAGGAACACCGGUGGGGAAGCCGGCCUGCUGGGGCUUGCCUGACGGUCAGGGACGAAAGCCGGGGGAGCAAACCGGAUUAGAUACCCGGGUAGUCCCGGCCGUAAACCAUGGGCGCUAGGCGUUGUCCCUUCGGGGGCAGUGCCGUAGCUAACGCGUUAAGCGCCCCGCCUGGGGAGUACGGCCGCAAGGCUGAAACUCAAAUGAAUUGACGG